rnacentral:lncRNA from 1 species
AAACAACCAACCCUGAAAGCGACAGGUUUGUCACAAGCUUCCUGUCCAUCACAGUGACCCAAGCUGAUGGAGCAUCUACUCUCUGGAACAGUGCUAGUUGACAAAAGAACCUUGAUUUUGUUUGUUGUGCAACAGCUCCAGAGAAUGAAUCAUGUUUGAUGCAACUGUGUUUCUCAGCCGUGGCUGCACCUAAGCUGCAUGAGAGAAUUUUACAAAUAUUGAUGCCAGGACACCACCCCAGAGCAGUUAAAUCAGAAUCGCUGCGAGCUGGCUCUGAGUGUCCCGUGGUGGCGCAGGGGCUGCUGUUAGUCAGGAGGACCAGCAGGUGGCAAGAGAGGCCAGACGCGGAAAGGAGAAGAGACAGGACAGGGUGGACUCACCGAGCAUCUCUGCCUCUACGGUCACCCCGUCUGACAACGACGACCUUCUGAGCAUAAUGGCUUCAAUUUCAC